GGCCCGCCCCACCUUCUCUUUCCUGUGAGUUUUUACACUGGGCUGCAGAGCCCAAACCAGCCCAGCUCUCGUGCAAGUGCAGCAUAAAGAAGAGAACCCGAGUGCCUCACUGUGGGACGAUCUUGCUCACCCCCUCCAAAACCCUAGCCAGGUACAUCCAUCUCUGUAGCCGAAACCCCACCGCCCUCAUCGAUCUCCAUCACCAAGCCGCCACAUCUCUACACCUCGCCAAGGGAGCAAGAGGAAGCGAAUGGCGAGGAGCCAGACAAAUCUGCGGCGACCUUAGCUGCCGAUACGGGUCGGCGGCACGAGAAUCUCCUAUGACAACCUCACCUGAUGAUUAGCAUUGUUUGCACAAGAACGGAGAUCUGAUUGAGCUUCCUCGUCGAAGCCCACUUGACUGCUGUGGUGGAUCAUGGCAGGCAGGCAAGCUCGAGCUCGGCUCGUUGACAGCCCUACCACUCCCACUGUUGUGCUAUGUUUUUGCACAUGCAGACAUAGCACGGCGAAGGAGGGGUGGAUCUGCUUGGCUCGUUGAGACACGCACACACACAUGCAUAUAUACAUAUAUAUCCCCUCUUCUGCUCUUCUGCAUUUCCACUGAGCAGGCUAAGUGGGCUCCGGGGAAUGCGUCUGUAGAUGCAAAAGUUAUGAAGGCUAUUGCAGGUUGGAAGAAUGCCUUAUCUAAAUUUGUCUUAACUUGUUUAACGAGUUCAUCACCAAUUCGAAAGCUCUUUUGAUUUGGUUGGUGUCAGUGCCAAUGGUUUUGCGAUAUCUUACUGACUGAUAUUUGAGUUGCAAACUCGCAAUAUUUCACCCUAUGGGCAACAUUGGCAGAUGACGAGAAGCAAAGACAAUUGCAUCUGCAGUGCUCCUGAUUCAUAGGUGCUCAAUGGCAUGAUGACUCUGUCUAGGGGAAUCUCUGAUGCUAAUAGUUAAUUCCAGUUUCCAUAUAGCUCAUGGAGUGUAUGAGGUUAAUUCCUGUUAAAUCAUGCUAGUAAUAGGUCUCUUUUGAAUCAGAUAAUGCAAGUUUUAUUUAUUUAAUUUAUAGAAUUCUUAUCUUGGUUUGUUCUUAUAAAAGUUUCUGAUCUCUUGUUGUAAGAUAAGAUAUAAGUUUGUGCAAUGUGGGUUUACCGUGACUGUCAACCUGGGAGAGUAGAGAUCUGAAUCCCAUCUCCAUGGAAGCUUACUUAGUAGCUCUGCUGGAUCAUGUUCUACUCCCUGUGUUCAAAAUAUUCCCUCUGAUUCAUAAAUGUUUAUUUACCUCUGGCUCUCGUCCUCAAAACAGGCUAAGUAGACUCUAGAAAAUGUAUUUGUAGAUGCAAAAAUUACAAAAGGUUUUGCAGAUUGGAAAAAAUGCAUCUACUAGAUUAUUGUUACCGAUUUAACAAUUUCUUGGUUGCUACAAACUUGUUUCUCUGUUACAUGUUACUCUCAUUUUGUUCACAAUCUGAAGGCUAAUGUGCUUUAGUGUCGGUACCUUUCUUUUUGAUUUGCCACGUGCCUGAAAAUGAGCUUGAAUGAUUAUUCUCUGGAAUAUGACCAUCUUUGUUGAUUCUUUUGUUGAGGAAACUUGGUUGGUAUGCAAAGCAUGGCCGAUGAUGAUAAGAAAGACGAAGAUAUCUGCAGUGCUCCUGAUUUAAAUUCAGGACACAAUAGCAUGAUGACUCCGUCUAUGGGAAUCUCUGAUGCUGUGCCUUGUUUUGUUGCAAGUUGUUUUCUUGUAUUUUUGUAUGGCUUUAAGUGCUCAUUGGAGGAAUCUUGACUGGUUUGCGGUUUGCAAUAUUUCACCAUUUCAAAUUUGUUGUCAAUGAGAAGACAAGAUCAUUUUAGCGUCCCUGGUGAUACAACUGCUAUAUGUGCUAUCAACUAGACUAGAAUAUGAAUGUUUUUAUGAAGCUAUGGGUCAACUUACUACUAUUAAUUGCAUAGCAGUCACUAUUUUUCUUCUUUUAAAACCUUUUAUCUUCUCUCAUAUCUGUGAUUGAUUUGGAUCACCAGGGAUAUCAUGAUAUGUCUGUUGUAGCUUAGUGAUCAUAUUGUUCACGGUAAGGAUGGGGGUCUGAAUGCUCAUUUCUGUUGUAGCCUGCCUUGUUGCUGCGGUGGAGUACUUAUCCAGUCAUACAUAUUCCCUCCGUGUCACCUUGUAUGUCUUCUUUUACUGGGACCAUGUUUGGCUUUGGGUUUUGUUUGUGCAUUCCUCAGUGAUCUGCACCUAAUCUGUGUCUUUUUAUUAUUUUGUUUUUCUUUUUAGCGUUAAGAUAGGUGGAUGCUUUUAAACCAUGGAUCUGUUUAUGCAUGUUCUAGGAAUUGCCAUAAUGGAAUCCUGCAGUUUGCAUCCUACAUAUAUUGCAGUUUCAGUGUUUGUUCAUGGGGCGUACUGAUUUGCCAGCCUGAUGUUUACCUCUGCACAAAUAAUGGAGAUUGGAAUACACUUGAUCAUUGAAGCUGGCUUGGCCGCUAUGGUGGAUCAUAUACUCCCUUCGUUCCAAAAUACAAGUCCAUCAAUGCAUGCAUAUCUCAGUCUGAUUUUCUUCCACCAAGCUUGCCGAGCUGGCUCUGGUUAAGAUAUGUGUAGAUAAAAUGAAAUAUGAAGGCUUUGGCAGACGCAUAUGUGGCGUAUAGUAUCAGUGCAUUAUGUGCAUUUGGAAGAUUAUUUGUGCAGAACUGCCAUGCACUUCCUUCUAAAAUGUUCUGGUUUUGGUUUUUAUUAUGGGGGCAUUCUGAUGUACCAGCCUGAUGAUUAACGGUAAUUUGCAUUAAGUGCAAAUAUCUGAAUGCAAUUCUCCUGUUGAAGGCUCUGCUGCUGCUGCUAUAACCAGAAGGAACUCAUCUAGUCUCAAAUUUGAGUCACAUCUAUCCAUGCAUAAAUUUCAGUCUUAUUUUCCACCAGGGUGUCUAAGUGGGCUCCGACAAGAGUGUGUAUAUUAACAAAAUGAAGGCCUUUGCUUGUGCAUAACACAUCCCUGUAGUACCAUUGCAUAAUGUUUGCAAAGAAAGGUGUUUUCGCAACCAUAAUUCAGCUUGCAGAAAUGCCGAUGUAUAGUGCCUCGGAAAAAAAGUUCUAAUAUCCGUUGUUUCAUUUGUAAGCCAAAGUCCCAAUGUUUUGUUUUUGUUGUGGGGGCAAGUGAUCUGGUAUACCAGCCUGAUGAUUAUGAUGUUUGCAUUAAGAACUGAGAUCAGAAUGCACUUCUCCCGUUGAAGCUUGCUUGGCCAUUGUGGUUGAUGGUCUGCUGUUGCAGCUGCUAGUACUACUACUGCCUUCUUGGCCCUUGUCUCUCUCUCUUCUCUCCCUACUGCUGGCUGGCUUGCUGCCUGCCUGUGUGUGGAUGUGUGUGUGUUUCUCCAUCAACCUAGCUGGCCAAGUGAGCUCCGUGGAGUGUGUAUGUAGAUGCAAGGAUUAUGAAGGCUUGACAGAUGCCAUGCAUACCCCCAUUUUUGUUUAGAAGCUUUGGAUUUUACUGUAGUUCUUUUGGUGGUCCUGUUUGGCAAUUGCUGUCUUGUUAACUUGUAUAACGAGUUCAUCACUAUUGCGGAAGUUGUUUUGAUUUUGAUGUACUGGAAUGCAGCCUGUGCUGCUUUUGAUUUGGUUGGUGUCGUGCUUAUGGUUUUGUGAUAUCUUACUGGACUGAUAUGAAUUGCAAACCUGAAUUAUUUCACCCUAUGGGCAACAUUGGCAAAUGAUGAGAAGCAAAGACGAUUGCAUCUGUACUGCUCCUGAUUCAUAGGGGCUCAAUGGCAUGAUGACCCUGUCUAGGGGAAUCUCUGAUGCUAAUAGCUAAUUACAGUUUCGAUCUAGCUUAUGGAGUUUAUGAGCUUGAUUCCUGUUAAACCAUGCUAUUAAUAGGUGUAUGUCUCUUUUAUCAGAUAAUGCAAGUUUUAUUUAUUUAACUUGUACAAUUCUUAUUUUGGUUUGUUCAGUUAAAAGUUUCUGAUCUCUUAUUGUAAGAUAAGAUAUAAGUUUGUGCAAUGUGGGUUUACCAUGAUCUUUCAACCUGGGAGAGCAGAUAUCUAAAUCCCAUCUCCAUGGAAGCUUCUAAGUAGCUGUGCUGGAUCAUGUUGUACUCCCUCUGUUCUAAAUAUUCCCAGUGAUUCAUAAAUGUUUAUUCACCUCAGUCUCUCAUCGUCAAAGCAGGCUAAGUAGACUCUAGGAAAUGUUAUGUAGAUGCAAACAUUACAAAAGGUUUGGCAGAUUGGAAAAAUGCCUCUACUUGAUUAUUGUUACCGAUAUAAGUUCUUGUUUGCUACAAACUUGUUUCUCUGAUACUUGUUACUCUCACUUUUCUCACAAUCUGAAGGCCAAUGUGCUUUUGUUCUGGUACC